CAUUGGGGCCAUCUGGACCCGGACCUACCAUCUCCCCGACGGCUUCUCCAGUCUCCUGCCGCCCUUUCCGGCUGGAUACAGCACCGCUCGCUCUGCCCGGCCAGCAAGGGCAGCCACCGCCAGGCCAGCGCCCCGGAGGGCCCGGAGCCCAGGUUCCCGUUGCUUCCAGCCUCGAGGAGACAAGACCGACAAGACCGUGGCAAACUCAGCAUCCUCUCUGCUGGCAGCUUGGAGCUAUUUGAGGCGUCAGACAUCCCCCGUUUGGUUUCGAGGCAAACGCCACUUGGCUAUGGGAGGGGCCCCACUUCAGCAAGUGUUGUAGCAGAAUGCCAGCGACCAAAAUUACAUGCCUUCCCCUCACGGCUUAAAAAGCCGCCUUCGGGGGGCGGGGUGGGGGGGGGGUUGCCCAUGUAUAAUUCAAGAAGCGCCGAAGCUGGAAACUGCAUCCUCGGAUGGAUUUUCCUUCCCAGGGAGGAUCUUUGUCUCAAGCCACAAUUGUUCAAAAUUGCAGGGUCGCGUGCGUGGAACGGAAUGGCGCUGACCUCUUGUUCACGUGACACUUGUCCGGCCCUCCUCACUGAGGAGCCUGCAAGGGGACGCGCAGCGAAACACCCGAGUGGCUUUGACCACCGAAAAAUCAGCUUGCAUCAGAGCUGGGACAUAGUGAGAUGGGUGAGCACCAAGGUGAUGCGACUAAGGGUCAAGGUCAUUCAAGUGACAGUAGGAGUCAGGUGAGUGAGGAUAAGAUCCCUGUCGUUAUUAUGAAUGUUGGUAUUUGCUCCCCAUGGGUAUUUUCCAUCAGUCUUAAUUUU
rnacentral:lncRNA from 1 species